rnacentral:lncRNA from 1 species
GGGGAAGUCCAAUUAAAAACUGACAAAAACAAAUGUGAGACUUAUAUCAACCAAUUUGGAAAGAAAUGGAAAAUGUCUGUCAUAUUCCUGACUUGGUACAGGCAUUUUACAAAAAGAAAACAGUGGGUUAAACCUAAAUUAGGUUUUAUAAUCUAGAGGAACCUCCCACUUGUUGGUUAAAUUGACAAAAUAUCGUAUGAGCAAUUACCCAAACAGACAUGAUAGGUUCUGCGCCAAUAAUGGGGAUCCAGCAACAAAAACUAUGUAAAUAUACAUUUCAGACAACACAACUGACUUAAAAAUAAACAAGCAUACACAUAUCUAUAAUACUAAAAUUACGAGGUCCAAUUUAUCAGCCGUCAUCACGUAAAAACGACGAAUCAAAGAAUUCAACUUUAUAUCUAACUAAUAUAGUGCAAUGUGUUGAUUAAAAAUUACACCACUCCAGACCCCUUUGUUUCCCACAUAAUUAAUAUUGCCAAUAAUUAAGAAGUUCCGGGUCGAAUCCGAUACCGAUACCAAUAGUAUAUUCACCUGUUACCUAUUACCUUAUCUGUACGUUCCGCAUCUGACAGGCGCA